UGGCUCAGUGGUAGAGCGCUUGCCUUGCAUGCAUGAGGCCUUGGGUUCGAUUCCCCA
rnacentral:tRNA from 1 species